UUUUUUUUCUGAAAAUCUGGAAGUUCAGACACAAAGGCCCUACCUACAUCUCCGAGAGGCGAAACCCUCACCAGGUUAAAUUCAUCUCUUUUAGAGAAGAGAUCCUUCCCAACGUGCCUCGAAUCCAACACCUCCACCUGAAAGAUUUACUACAUAGACAAUCUUUAGUCGACUUUUGUUUAAAGAAUCCCUCUUCAUCCCAAAAGAGAUUGAACCGAGGCACAAGGGAAC
rnacentral:sRNA from 1 species